rnacentral:rRNA from 1 species
GCUUCCCUCUGGCGGCGUGCCUAAUACAUGCAAGUCGAGCGAACAGAUGAGGAGCUUGCUCCUCUGACGUUAGCGGCGGACGGGUGAGUAACACGUGGAUAACCUACCUAUAAGACUGGGAUAACUUCGGGAAACCGGAGCUAAUACCGGAUAAUAUAUUGAACCGCAUGGUUCAAUAGUGAAAGACGGUUUUGCUGUCACUUAUAGAUGGAUCCGCGCCGCAUUAGCUAGUUGGUAAGGUAACGGCUUACCAAGGCAACGAUGCGUAGCCGACCUGAGAGGGUGAUCGGCCACACUGGAACUGAGACACGGUCCAGACUCCUACGGGAGGCAGCAGUAGGGAAUCUUCCGCAAUGGGCGAAAGCCUGACGGAGCAACGCCGCGUGAGUGAUGAAGGUCUUCGGAUCGUAAAACUCUGUUAUUAGGGAAGAACAAAUGUGUAAGUAACUAUGCACGUCUUGACGGUACCUAAUCAGAAAGCCACGGCUAACUACGUG